UACGGAGGGGGCUAGCGUUGUUCGGAAUUACUGGGCGUAAAGCGCACGUAGGCGGCUUUGUAAGUUAGAGGUGAAAGCCCGGAGCUCAACUCCGGAAUUGCCUUUAAGACUGCAUCGCUAGAAUUGUGGAGAGGUAAGUGGAAUUCCGAGUGUAGAGGUGAAAUUCGUAGAUAUUGGGAAGAACACCGGUGGCGAAGGCGGCGACCUGGUCCUUUUACUGACGCUGAGGCGCGAAAGCGUGGGGAGCAAACAGG
rnacentral:rRNA from 1 species